rnacentral:rRNA from 1 species
UACGGAGGGUGCAAGCGUUGUUCGGAAUUAUUGGGCGUAAAGGGCAGGUAGGUGGUCUUGAAAGUCUGCUGUGAAAUCCCCGAGCUUAACUUGGGAAGUGCGGCAGAUACUCCAAGACUAGAGUACUGGAGGGGUUCGUGGAAUUCCCGGUGUAGCGGUGAAAUGCGUAGAUAUUCGCAAGAACACCAGUGGCGAAGGCGGCGAUCUGGGUCGAUACUGACGCUGAGGAGCGAAAGCCAGGGGAGCAAACGGG